AUUGAACGCUGGCGGCAUGCCUUACACAUGCAAGUCGAACGGCAGCACGGGAGCUUGCUCCUGGUGGCGAGUGGCGAACGGGUGAGUAAUACAUCGGAACGUACCCUGAAGUGGGGGAUAACGUAGCGAAAGUUACGCUAAUACCGCAUAUUCUGUGAGCAGGAAAGAGGGGGAUCGCAAGACCUCUUGCUUUAGGAGCGGCCGAUGUCGGAUUAGCUAGUUGGUGAGGUAAAGGCUCACCAAGGCGACGAUCCGUAGCGGGUCUGAGAGGAUGAUCCGCCACACUGGGACUGAGACACGGCCCAGACUCCUACGGGAGGCAGCAGUGGGGAAUUUUGGACAAUGGGCGCAAGCCUGAUCCAGCCAUGCCGCGUGAGUGAAGAAGGCCUC
rnacentral:rRNA from 1 species